AUAAAACCGGCAGCCAAUUCCAUUUAUGUGCUUCCUCCGUCUUCUUUACCUAUUUCGUCCUUUCAAUGCUUCGAAGGAAAUCCACACACUCCACCCUCAUUAGAUGACUCGUACCUCUUUAAUGGCGGACUUAACUCGCAUUAUUUUUUGCCGGAUUUCUACCAUCUGUGGAUCUGAGGUACCCAUCCUUUAUAUUAUCCCAUUUCUUAUUCUAAUAAUUAACAACUCAACGUUCCUUUCCCUGAUAUGUUUUCCCUUUUUCUUUUAACAACCCUUCUCAUGUCCUGAUUUUAAGUCCUAACCCCUCUGCUACCUUCGGUGACACCAUUCCUAUCAUUCGCAUCGACCCUAACGACUACACUAGGUCCGAUCAUAUUCAGAUGAGUAUUUUCUCUAUCUUUUAACCCUUCUAUUGCUAGGGAAUGGGCCACUAAGUUUGCUUGUCUACUUGCAUGUUGAAAUCUACAAGAGAUAAAGUUCCUUCUCAUUCGUUUUGCAUCAGAAAUAAAGGCCCUUAUAUUGGAUCUAUCUUCAUCUUGUCUUUGUAUUUUCCGAAAAAUAGAUAACGCAUCGCCUUCAAUUUCAACUCGUAGGAAACCAGUUUCUGCCCUAAAUCUCACUACUUGGACGCAUUCGAGAGCCUCGGCUGCAAAGUUUGUCGAUAUGUGCUCGUUUUUAUAGAUUAUUGAUUUUAGAAUGCCACCGUCAGAAUUUCUAAUCACAAUUCCAAUGCAUGAUCUUUUGUUCUGUCUGUCGAAAGCAGCGUGGAAGUUAAUUUUUAUAUUCAAUCCUUCCGGGGGUUUCCAAUUUUCCUUUUGUACAGGGUUCACAGGUAAUUUCUUCUUACUCCAUCAAUUUCCUUUAUAUAGCUUUGGAUAAACUGAAUUAGGCAGGUUUCAAACUGAACCAAAUUCUCAUGUACCAAAUAAUCUUUAUUUGUUGACUUGAUUCUUUUUCAAAUAUUAUCUUCACCUAGUCCUUAUAUUGCAAUUGAUUUUGUUCUAUGGCCCAUCUAAAGCCCAGCCUUGACCAAACUGCAACAGCAUAAGGGCAGUCCUUGAAUACAUGAUUUGUAGUUUCGGGUAGAAGUGUUCAUUGAUCGGGUUAGGUUCGGGCCGAGUUCAACUAAAAAUUUAUGUCCAUUUAUUAGGUUCGGCCCGGACCCAAAAAAUGAGCUUAAAAUUUUGCUCAAACCUAACUCAGAUAAAAAUAUUAAAACCCGGGUUCGACCCAGCCCAUAUGUAUUAAUUUUUUAUAUUAUUUUUAAAUAAUAAUAUAUCAAAAAUACUAAAAAUAUCAAAAUAAAUAUUUACUAACAAAUUGAAAAUAAAUUUUAAAAAGUAUGUAAACUUAAAUAACACUAAAAUAGAUGUAAUUUAAUAAGUUAAUGCCUUUAAAAUAUUAACGAAAUUAAUAAUAAAAUAAGUUUUAUAUAAUAUUUAAACAAUAACAAUAAAAUAGUAGAAACAUAAUAGUAAAAUGGUAGCAAAAUAGGGAGAAAAUAACAAGAAAAUAACAUUCAAAAAUAAACAAAAUACAUAUUUUUUUUGUCCUUUAGUGAAUUUGGGCUGGGCCGGGUUGAGCUCAGGCUAAAAAUACCUUACUCAAGGCUUGACUUAUUUUUUAAACGGGUUUUAUUUUUUUGUCCAAGCUCAUUUGUUGGGCUUAUAUUUUUGUUUAAAUCUUCCCACAUUUCGGGCGGGCUUUCGGACUGGGUCGAGUAAUUCGGCCCAUGAAACUUUUAGUUUCAGGACAAUUGGUGCAUCUAGGGCAAUUAUUAUUACUGGCCAAUCUUCGUUAGAACAAAUUAGAGAAAGUAGGUGGAUAAUUAUUUAGACUUUUUUAGACUAGGAAUUUUGUUUUUGAGGGCCAAUCAAUCAGCCAUAGUUUUUUGUACAGUGGCUUGUAAUAAUUUUGGUUAGCUUGCAUAUUUGUUUGGCCUUUGGUCUGUAUUAAAAUUUUAUGCCCACUCCGCACUGUAUACUUUCUUGACGUUUCACCGCACCAAACCAUUCUUUCUAUUUCUUGCUUUAAAUGAUGGAUGAUGCACAGGAUUCUUUCGGCAUCUUGGGGUGAAAGGUACUUCUUAUGAGCUCUUAUUUCCAUUUGUUUGUAUCCUAUUGAAUAAGCUUUGAUACAUGUCCCAACCACUGAUCAAUAUUUGAAUUCUCUAAUUUGUAAUCGCCAAUACUUGGGAUCCAAGCUUCAUCCCAAAUUCGAACAUGUUUUCCUUAUCCAAUUCGCCAGCAAAAACCUUUUUCAAGGGGUCCUUUUACCGCCCAUAUACUCCUCCAAGUAUAGGAUGGUAAUGUCCCCAACUUAGCUUAAUACUUGGCUAAUGAUUUUGCUAAUAAUGAAUCCUGAUAACAAAUCAAACGCCACCCUAGUUUUGCUAACAUUACUACAUUAAAAUUUGAUAAACACUGAAAUCCCAUUCCUCCAUCCUCCUUUAGUUCACUUAGCCUUCUCCACUCACACCAAUGGAUCCCUCGUUUGUCGUGACUUUUUUGCCACCAAAACUGACUCAUAAUGUUUUCCAAUUCUAUAAAAAACGAUUUUGGUGACAAAAAACAUGCCAUCGCAUAAGUGGGAAUUGUAUAUAAAAUUGCUUUUAUAAAAACCUCCCUUCCUCCAAUCGAUAAGAGUCUCAUACUCCAACAUUUAAUUUUACUUAUCAUCCUAUCUUUUAGGAAUUGGAUAUUCUUUUUUUUUUGUCCCUCUCUAUCAUAUUAGGCAAUCGCAAGUAUUUUUCUAGAUCUUUUGAAGUUCGGAUUGAGUGUGCAAUUUGCUCCCUCUUUUGUUCCUAAACGUUUGAACUAAAAAAUGCCACUGACUUAUAAAAUUUUUUGCAUUGACCAGAAUAGCUCUUAUAUUCUCGUAAAAUUAUUUUGAGGUUAUGAGCUCCCCUUUCUAUAGCAUCUCCAAAAAGAAUGCAAUCGUUUGCAAAGAGGAUAUGAGUAAUAGUAGGUACUUUUCGACACACCUUAGCCCCUUAAAUUUUACCAUCCUAUGCAGCUAGCCUCAUUAACGAUGAUAACCCCUCACUACAAAUUAAGAAUAAAUAGGGGCUUAACGGGUUACCUUGUCUCAAUCUUCUUAUUGUUUUGAAUCUUUUGCUAAGCUUUCCAUUUAGACAAAUCGAAAUAACUUAUCGAUAUAACUCAUCACAUCAUUAUGGUCACAAAAGGCCCAACUCCACCCUAUCGUAAGCAUUAUUCAUGUAUAAUUUUAGUGCUAAACUUUCAUGUUGCUCUAUUAUUCUUUGCUUGGGUGUAUGCAUUAACUCAUAAGCUAAAAUGAUAUUAUCUGUAAUCAGUUUCCUAGCACAAGCAUUUUUGGCAUUAUCAAUGCAUUCAUUUAAAACUUUUUGAAAAUGAUUGGCAAUCACUCUCGGUAUAAUCUUAUAUAAAACUAUGCAUAGGCUAAUAAGUCUAAAAUUUUUUAAAUAUAUUGGAUUUGCAAUUUUGGGGAUAAAAACAAUGUUGGUAAGAUUAACUUUAUCAAUUGGGCUGCCAUUAUUAAGAAUAUUAAGACAAAAAUCACUGACCUCUUGUCUAAUAAUGUGGCAAUAUUUUUGGAAGAAAAGUGUUGCAAAUCCAUCACUUUUGGGGGCUUUAGUUAGUACCAUUCUUUUUAUCGCUAUCACGAUUUCUUUUGUUGUGAAUUCCUUCGUUAGUUCUUUAUUCAUAUUCAUAUCUUUCGACACACAAACUCCACCUGAAGCAAACAAAUUUUCAAAGUAUCUUUUUGCUACUUUCACCAUCUUCCCAUUAUCAGAAGUAAUUUGAUCGUGCUCGCCCUCUAGCUCUUCAACUCGGUUUGCGCUCCUUUAAGAUGCACAAUUGUGGAAAAAUUUUGUAUUUCUAUCCACAUCCUUUAUCCUUUAACCAAUUCAUUCUAGCUCUUUGUUCUCAAUAUUUCUCUUCCUUUUCAAUUUCUAUAUUUAAAUGGGUUUUUGUAUCAAUUAAUUUUGCCAAAUUCUCAUUUGUUCUUUCUCUUUCAUCCAACUUUUCAAUUCGGGCAAGUAGUUUCUUUGAAAGUACCCUUCUAAAAUUUUUUUUAUCCCCAUUGCUUAUCUGUUUAGCCAUUUUGCUAUUGCUUCUAACUUCUCGAUCACCCCUCACUCUUUGUCAUCCAUGUCCUUUUUACUUAUUCCUUACACGAUGUCUCCAUAGCCCGCCAUACCUCACAUUUGAAUCAUAUUCUCCUCCUACUAAUUCCUUUUGUCUUGGUUUGGAAAAAUAAAGGACAAUGAUCAGAAAAAGAGUGAGAUAAGUGUUGACUUGUAUAUUCAAGAAAAAGGUCAAUCCAUUCUUUGUUGGCCACCCCUCUAUUAAGUUUUUCUCUAAUAUUUGUUUCAAGGAGAUUCCCUCUUUCCCAAGCUAACCAUCUUCCCACAUGCCUCACAUCUUCUAAAUGAUAAUCAUUCAAUAUCGUCCUAAAUUCUUCCGUUUGUCCUUCAUCUCAUGGCAAGCCCUUUUCUUUUUCAAAGGAGUAAAGAAUCUCAUUAAAGUCACCACAAACAAGCCAUGGCAUUAUUUGCUCACGACUUAAUCUACUAAAGAUUUCCCAAACAAUACUUCUUCCACGUGUUUUUGGUGCUCCAUAAAAGCUGAUUAAUCUAGUCUAGCUUCAUGAUCAUCGAUAUUUACAUCAAUAUGGUUAUUUGAAAAACUAUUCAAUCUUACUAAAAAUUCACUCUUCCAUCCAAGGCUUACUUCACCUCUAGUUUUGUUUGUCGAAACAUCAAUUCUGUAUUGAAAUCCUUAACUCCUUUCUUUCUCCAUUUGAAAAUUAUCAAGUUUGGCCUCCAUAAAGAAGAGUUGUUGAGGAUUAUACAUCUUCAAUAUAUGCUGAAAUCUUUUAACGCCUCGUGGACUCCCAAUCAAAGAUGUUCCAACUAAAGAUUUUCAUUGCAUCCGGUCGAUAUCUAAUUUGUUUGAGUUGAUCCUUUUUGUUCUUCGUGUCCAUUUCCCUCUCCAGUCACAAAUCUAUGUUGACUUAGGCUAUCUAAUCAAAGUCGCUUCUUUCCUUCACUAUUUUCUAGUGGUAAUUCCUCAUUAUCUUCCUCCUCGUCCUCUUGAUCUUCCUCUUUUAAACCCAUUAGACCCUUUCCUUUUUCUAAUCGCUAACUACCCUCUAGAAUAAGUCCUUCCGUUUGGUUUCGAAAACCCUUAUUAUAAUGCGCCCUACCACAGCCCAACCCUUCUUCAGAAUUCCACAUCUCUUCUUUACUUACUUCCUUCCCAAAGUUCCUUUUUCAGGUUUUCCUCCCUCAACCAUACACUAAGUGUAAUACUAGCUCUCCUUAGCUGUGUUUUUAAUGAAACGUCCCACCCACACUGCAUUUCUCCUAACCCUAGAUUAAUUCUUUUUCUACAAAAUAUGUCUCUAUGCCCUAAAAGUCCACAAAGAAAGCAAAAAAGGGAUAAUUUUUCAUACCUAAACUUUACAUAGACCGGAUUUCCUUGGGGAAUAAGGGUCUUUCUUUUCCUCAUUAAAGGUUUCCUGAUAUCAAUUUGAACUCUAAUGUGCAUAUAAUUUUUGGGGCCUUGACUAAAUUGCAUUGUAUCAUAGUCUAAAAAUUUUCCCACAAAAUUUUCCAAUUAUCGAGCCACUUGUUCAGAGAAGUAUCCAGUAGGGAUUUCAUGCACCUAUACACAAAAGUCAGUGUAUACCAACAGAAUCACAUUUGGAUCUUCCCCUUUUUUAAUCCUAUGUAGUAUUAGAAGAUGAUUGUUGAAAGUCCAAGGUGCUCCACUCAUUACUUGCUCCACAUCAACCUCAUAAAAGAAUCUAAAUAAAUAUCGUUUUUCUACUAGAUUAGAAAUUUGAAUUCCUCCCAAAAGGUGCCAAAGAUUGGCCAUUGUAUUUUUCAUAGCUGGAGAGUGAACCACACUUGCUGUAAGACAACAUCCAACUAAACACAAAUCAUGCAGAGAUUUUUGCGAUCUUGCCUCGGUCUCAAACUGCACGCCCUCAUCUUCCUCUUCCUCAAGACUCAAAUCUGCCUAGUCAUUUUCAAUUAUCGCCAUCUUCAAUUUUCUUUGAAAGAUCCUAAGCCUUCAGUUAUUAACCAAAUUUUAAUUUUUAUGUAGGAGUCACCUUUUAUAAUCGUGGACACGGAUAAAACAGAAUUGUGAUUGACGCUGACAACAAUCAAAUUAAAAAGAGAGACACUGGUUAUUACGCACUUUUUCUUUUGACUAUGAGGGAAUUAUAAAGCCAGAAAAUCAUAAACAGUUCUACCCAGGCGAAUCAGAAAAGAAAUCGGCAUAAAGAUUGAUUCAAGAAAAGAGAAAAGUAAUCGUAAAACAUAGACUUUGCUAGACGAAUAUCGUGCUACUUAAAGAGAAAACUCUGAAAAUACCAGAGAAUUGAAAUAUAUACAUUAUAUUUUUUUUCUUGCUAUCAUUUUUUGUUU
rnacentral:lncRNA from 1 species